rnacentral:rRNA from 1 species
AGAGUUUGAUCAUGGCUCAGAACGAACGCUGGCGGCAGGCCUAACACAUGCAAGUCGAGCGCACCCUUCGGGGCGAGCGGCGGACGGGUUAGUAACGCGUGGGAACGUGCCCUUCUCUACGGAAUAGCCUUUGGAAACGAAGAGUAAUACCGUAUACGCCCUUCGGGGGAAAGAUUUAUCGGAGAAGGAUCGGCCCGCGUUAGAUUAGAUAGUUGGUGGGGUAAUGGCCUACCAAGUCUACGAUCUAUAGCUGGUUUUAGAGGAUGAUCAGCAACACUGGGACUGAGACACGGCCCAGACUCCUACGGGAGGCAGCAGUGGGGAAUCUUAGACAAUGGGCGCAAGCCUGAUCUAGCCAUGCCGCGUGUGUGAUGAAGGCCCUAGGGUCGUAAAGCACUUUCGCCAGGGAUGAUAAUGACAGUACCUGGUAAAGAAACCCCGGCUAACUCCGUGCCAGCAGCCGCGGUAAUACGGAGGGGGUUAGCGUUGUUCGGAAUUACUGGGCGUAAAGCGUACGUAGGCGGAUCAGAAAGUAUAGGGUGAAAUCCCGAGGCUCGACCUCGGAACUGCCUUGUAAACUCCUGGUCUUGAGUUCGAGAGAGGUGAGUGGAAUUCCAAGUGUAGAGGUGAAAUUCGUAGAUAUUUGGAGGAACACCAGUGGCGAAGGCGGCUCACUGGCUCGAUACUGACGCUGAGGUACGAAAGUGUGGGGAGCAAACAGGAUUAGAUACCCUGGUAGUCCACACCGUAAACGAUGAAUGCCAGUCGUCGGGCAGUAUACUGCUCGGUGACACACCUAACGGAUUAAGCAUUCCGCCUGGGGAGUACGGUCGCAAGAUUAAAACUCAAAGGAAUUGACGGG